GUGAACCUGCGGAGGGAUCAUUACCGAGUUUACAACUCCCAAACCCAAUGUGAACGUUACCAAACUGUUGCCUCGGCGGGAUCUCUGCCCCGGGUGCGUCGCAGCCCCGGACCAAGGCGCCCGCCGGAGGACCAACCAAAACUCUUAUUGUAUACCCCCUCGCGGGUUUUUUUAUAAUCUGAGCCUUCUCGGCGCCUCUCGUAGGCGUUUCGAAAAUGAAUCAAAACUUUCAACAACGGAUCUCUUGGUUCUGGCAUCGAUGAAGAACGCAGCGAAAUGCGAUAAGUAAUGUGAAUUGCAGAAUUCAGUGAAUCAUCGAAUCUUUGAACGCACAUUGCGCCCGCCAGUAUUCUGGCGGGCAUGCCUGUCCGAGCGUCAUUUCAACCCUCGAACCCCUCCGGGGGGUCGGCGUUGGGGAUCGGCCCUGCCUUGGCGGUGGCCGUCUCCGAAAUACAGUGGCGGUCUCGCCGCAGCCUCUCCUGCGCAGUAGUUUGCACACUCGCAUCGGGAGCGCGGCGCGUCCACAGCCGUUAAACACCCAACUUCUGAAAUGUUGACCUCGGAUCAGGUAGGAAUACCCGCUGAACUUAAGCAUAUCAAUAAGGCGGGAGGAA
rnacentral:rRNA from 1 species